rnacentral:hammerhead_ribozyme from 1 species
AUUCAGCUGACGAGUCCCAAAUAGGACGAAACGUGCCUCCUUGAU